rnacentral:rRNA from 1 species
UACGGCGGGGGCGAGGGAUAUCCGGAAUCACUGGGUUUAAAGUGUGCGUAGGCGGCUUGGUAAGUCAGUUGUGAAAGCCCCUUGCUUAACGAGGGAGGUGCGAUUGAUACUGUCGAGCUUGAAUCGGGAAGAGGCAGGCGAAAUGUGGCAUGUAGCGGUGAAAUGCAUAGAUAUGCCAUAGAACACCGAUUGCGAAGGCAGCCUGCUGGGCCUGUAUUGACGCUGAGGCACGAAAGCGUGGGGAGCAAACAGG